GUUCUUGUAGUUGAAUAACAACGGUGGUUUUUCAAGUCAUUAGUUU
rnacentral:tRNA from 1 species